GAAGAGGUUGGGCACACAGAAGAAGAAUAAACCUUCCUGUUAGAUGCUAAAGGAAGCUCGACGUGUUUGUCUCAUCUUUUAUAUAUCACAGCACAUCAUCAUCAGCGUAGAGGAGGUGCCUCUGCCGUCGCUGUGCUCAUGCGUUAGAUGAAGAGCAAAGGCGAGGUGGGUGGACGUCAACCAGGGUGUCAGGAAACGCCGACAAUCCUGCUGGGCAUCAGAUUGCACUUCUGCUCAACAAUACAUUUAUACAAGCAACAAGCUGUCACUUCCUGUACACAUCUUCCCUGUUUAAGUCACCAACCUGCCUGGAUCGCUGAACAAACGGGAAGCUCGUGUGUCAGGCGUCUGUCUCAGUAGAGUCAGUCAGUCCAACCUAAAAUCUUUGUUUCAUGCUCUGCAGCUGCAGACUGCUUCUUCUCUGGGAUGUUUUCUGCCUCCACGGUGCUGAAUUCCUCGUCUCCUCUAGCAUUUAGGCUUACAGAUGGGAUAAAACUGGGAAGUCAUAUGUUUUGUGAACGUAACCUUGUUGAGGAUUUUCUAUGGCUGCAGUUCUACCUGCUUCAUAAGUGAAGCCUGAUACUGAUGGAACAGUGUUUGUGGAGCUUCAUUUAUCUUGCAUGAAAUUUGGUGGUUUGUGACGUCGUCUACAUCAGUCCAGGUUGCAUGACUUUCAAAGCAGUUCAAGUUUUAGCCUGAAAGCAAACAUAAACGAUGCACAGACACAGAAGCUCAAUGACAUCACAAUACUGUGAUAAAUGUAAACAA